rnacentral:rRNA from 1 species
UGAUUUCCCCCUUCUGACAAGCCGUGAUGUCUUCAUUUGGUGUUACCGGGAGUCAGGACUGUUACUUUGAAAAAAUUAAAAUGUUUAAAGCCGGGCAUCGCCCGAAUACCUUAACCUGGAAUAAUGAAAUAAGACGUUCGAACCUAUUUUGUCUGUUUCCAAGAACUACGUAAUGAUUAAUAAGGAUAGUUGGGGGCAUUAAUAUUCCAUUGUCAGAAGUGAAAUUCCUGGAUUUAUUGAAGACUAACUACUGCGAAAGCCUUUGCCAAGGAUGUUUUCAUUAAUCAAGAACGAAAGUUAGGGGAUCGAAAAACAUCAGAUACCGUCGUAAUCCUAACCAUAAACUAUGCCGACUAGGGAUCGGAUGAUGUUAAUUUUUUAAUGACUCAUUCCGCGCCUUACG